rnacentral:rRNA from 1 species
AAGUCGAGCGGGAACCUGGGAAGGGGUAACCCUCCCCAGGGGAGAGCGGCGAACGGGUGCGUAACACGUGGGCAACCUGCCCCGGACACCGGGAUAACCCAGGGAAACCUGAGCUAAUACCGGAUACUCCGGCGCGAUCGCAUGGUCGUGCCGGGAAAGCUCCGACGAUCCGGGAUGGGCCCGCGGCCUAUCAGCUCGUUGGUGGGGUAACGGCCCACCAAGGCGACGACGGGUAGCUGGUCUGAGAGGACGGCCAGCCACACUGGGACUGAGACACGGCCCAGACUCCUACGGGAGGCAGCAGUGGGGAAUCUUGCGCAAUGGGCGAAAGCCUGACGCAGCGACGCCGUGUGGGGGAUGAAGGCCUUCGGGUUGUAAACCCCUGUCGGGUGGAACGAAUCCCCCGAGGACGAAUACUCCUCGGGGUUGACGGUACCGCCGGAGGAAGCCCCGGCUAACUACGUGCCAGCA